rnacentral:tRNA from 2 species
GGAGAGCUGUCCGAGCGGCUGAAGGAGCAUGAUUGGAAAUCAUGUAUAGGACGAACGUUCUAUCGAGGGUUCAAAUCCCUCGCUCUCCGCCA